rnacentral:lncRNA from 1 species
CCCUCCUUCCCUCCUUCCUCUAUUAUGGUUAAAGAAAAAAGGUCAGGGAAGUUUUGUGAAACUUGUAACUGCAAUUUAAUAUUAUAUUUAGUGGAAUGAGAGGUGAAAUGUGUUCAGACUAUUACAUUUCGAUUUUUUUUUAAAUUGAACCCAAGUUUACUGCAAGGGGUGUUUAACGACCUCGAUGAUUAUCCAUGAGGAUCUCGCACUCGGUCAGCUCUAGGUUUUUACCAAGUUCAUGAUCAUACAUGAAUUG